UAGUUGAACCAUGGCCAUCUUACCACGAAACAUUCAAAGGGAAAAAUGCGGACAUCAACUCAACGCAGGUAACGCCGAAAGGAGCAUCCGGUGAAAGAAAACAACUACCAAGGAAACCAGAGCAUAGACCAGGGUCAGAGGCCAACAAAAACCAGAGCAAAACUACUAGCCCCGUGCCAAGAUCAAAGUCAACUCAAACAAGUUUUCAUGAUGCAACCAAAA